rnacentral:rRNA from 1 species
UAGUGGAUGUCAUACUUCCAAGAAAAGCUUGCACUGUCAUAAAUAAAAACGCCUGUACCAUAACCGACACAGGUGGGUAGGUAGAGUAUACUAAGGGGCGCGAGAUAACUCUCUCCAAGGAACUCGGCAAAAUGACUCCGUAACUUCGGGAGAAGGAGUGCCUUAUUCGUAAGGCUGCAAUAACAAGAUCCAAGCAACUGUUUAUCAAAAACACAGGUCUCCGCUAAGUCGUAAGACGAUGUAUGGGGGCUGACGCCUGCCCAGUGCCAGAAGGUUAAAGAAGUCGGUUAGCAUUAGCGAAGCUGGUAACUGAAGCCCUGGUGAACGGCGGCCGUAACGAUAACGGUCCUAAGGUAGCGAAAUUCCUUGUCGGGUAAGUUCCGACCCGCACGAAAGGCGUAAUGAUUUGGAUACUGUCUCGGAGAGGGGCUCGGUGAAAUAGACUUGUCUGUGAAGAUGCGGACUACCUGCACCAGGACAGAAAGACCCUAUGAAGCUUUACUGUAACUUGAAAUUGAAAUUGGACUUUAUUCGCGCAGUAUAGGUGGGAGGUGUUGAUUAUAAUCUUGCGGGAUUAUUGGAGCCAUCAGUGAGAUACCACUCUUGUAAUGUUAGAUUUCUAACUUUGAAUCAUUAUCUGGUCAAAGAACAGUUUCAGGCGGGCAGUUUGACUGGGGCGGUCGCCUCCUAAAUGGUAACGGAGGCGUACAAAGGUUUCCUCUGAACGGGUAGAAAUCGUAUCUAGAGUGUAAAGGCAUAAGGAAGCUUGACUGUGAGACCUACAAGUCGAGCAGGGACGAAAGUCGGUCUUAGUGAUCUGACGGUACUGAGUGGAAAGGCCGUCACUCAACGGAUAAAAGUUACUCUAAGGAUAACAGGCUGAUCUCCCCCAAGAGUUCACAUCGACGGGGAGGUUUGGCACCUCGAUGUCGGCUCAUCGCAUCCUGGGGCGGUAGUACGUCCCAAGGGUUGGGCUGUUCGCCCAUGAAAGCGGUACGCGAGCUGGGUUCAGAACGUCGUGAGACAGUUCGGUCCAUAUCCGGUGUAGGCGUUAGAAUAUUGAGAGGAGCCUUCUUUAGUACGAGAGGACCGAGAAGGACAUACCUCUGGUGUACCAGUUAUCGUGCCAACGGUAAACGCUGGGUAGCUAUGUAUGGAGUGGAUAACCGCUGAAAGCAUCUAAGUGGGAAGCCCACCUCAAGAUAAGUAUUCUC